rnacentral:snRNA from 1 species
CUUGCUUUGCAGCACAUAUACCAAAAUUGGAAUGAGACUGAGAGAUUAGCAUGGCCCCUGUGCAAAGAGGACACAAAAAUUCAUGAAGUGUUUCAUAUUGUU